AUUGUUUCCUUCGAGGAAGCAAUUCCCCGACAUAUUUUCCGUAUGCAAAGUGACCUCCGUGUGACCCAUCUCGUAAAAAUCCGGUGAUCGCAAUACGUAUGGAUGUCCUUAAAAUAAACUAUUAUCUGAUUGUACAUGUUAAACACGUGCUCAAUAUCCAUGCUUUUUUGGUUGAUUGUUGACAAACAGGUGACAAUCGUUAAACUUCGACUUCAAAACACGAACUUUAAUUACCUGCUAUAUUUUCACAACACUGACC
rnacentral:lncRNA from 1 species